rnacentral:rRNA from 1 species
UUCGUAGGUGGCCAACUAAGUCAGACGUGAAAUCCCUCAGCUUAACUGGGGAACUGCGUCUGAGACUGGAUGGCUCGAGUGCAGGAGAGGAACGCGGAAUUCCAGGUGUAGCGGUGAAAUGCGUAGAUAUCUGGAGGAACACCGGUGGCGAAGGCGGCGUUCUGGACUGCAACUGACACUGAGGAACGAAAGCCAGGGAGCAAACG